GUUAAAACAUUGGUUCCCAUCCGAUCACUGAAGUUAAGCAACAUCAAGCCUGGCCAGUACUUAGAUGGGUGACCACUUGGGAAUAUCAGGUGCUAUA